GAUCCUGGCUCAGGAUGAACGCUGGCGGCGUGCUUAACACAUGCAAGUCGAACGAAGCACUUUGGACAGAUUCUUCGGAUGAAGUCCUCAGUGACUGAGUGGCGGACGGGUGAGUAACGCGUAUCCAACCUGCCUUACACUCUUGGACAGCCUUCUGAAAGGGAGAUUAAUACAAGAUGUUAUCAUGAGUAAGCAUUUUCGCAUGAUUAAAGGUUUACCGGUGUAAGAUGGGGA
rnacentral:rRNA from 1 species